rnacentral:rRNA from 1 species
UGACGGUACCCUUUCGAAUAAGAGGUUGCUAACUCUGUGCCAGCAGCAGCGGUAAUACAGAGACCUCGAGCGUUAUCCGGAUUUACUGGGCGUAAAGCGUCUGUAGGGGGUUUGUUAAGUUCCAAGUAAAAUCUUAAGGCUCAACUUUAAGUUCGCUUGGAAAACUAAUAAACUGGAGUCCAGCAGAGGUGCAUGGAACUUGCGGUGUAGGAGUGAAAUCCGUUGAUAUCGCAAGGAACACCAAAGGCGAAGGCAUUGCACUGGGCUGGUACCGACCCUGAGAGACGAAAGCGUGGGGAGCAAAACGGAUUAGAUACCCGUGUAGUCCACGCCGUAAACGAUGGAUACUAGAUGUUCGGGGAUUCGACCCCCUGGGUGUCACAGCUAACGCGUUAAGUAUCCCGCCUGGGAAGUACGGCCGCAAGGCUAAAACUCAAAGGAAUAGACGGGGAUCCGCACAAGCGGUGGAGCGUCUGGUUUAAUUUGAUAGUAAGCAAUGGACCUCACCAAGGUUUGACAUCCUAUGACAACCCUGGAAACAGGGCUUCCUUCGGGCAUAGUGACAGGUGCUGCAUGGUCGUCGUCAGUUCGUGCCGUGAGGUGUUCCGUUAAGUCGGGAAACGAACGAAACCCUCGUCGCAUGUUACAAAUUUCAUGCGAGACUGCCCGGGUCAACCGGGAGGAAGGCGGGGAUGACGUCAGAUCAGCAUGGCCCUUAUACCUUGGGCUACACAGGCGCUACAAUGGCCGGUACAAAGGGUUGCAAAACCGCGAGGUGAAGCUAAUCCCAUAAAGCCGGUCCAAGUUCGGAUUGGAGGCUGCAACUCGCCUCCAUGAAGUUGGAAUCGCUAGUAAUCGUGGAUCAGCCAUACCACGGUGAAUACGUUCCCGGAUCUUGUACUCACCGCCCGUCACACCAAGAGAGUUGGUAGCUCCUGAAGCGUCGCAUUAG